UUCACCAUCGCGACAGGGCCCGUCGAACCUGGUCAGGACCGGAAGGUAGCAGCCAUAAGAUUGUGGUUCCUGUGUGCGGUGGCUUUUCUU
rnacentral:SRP_RNA from 1 species